rnacentral:pre_miRNA from 1 species
AGUGAGAUAGCUGGGUCAAAUGGUGGUUCCAUUCCAAGUUUUUUGAGCAAUCUCCAUAUCACUUUCCAUAGUGGUUGCACCAAUUUGCAUUCCCACCAGCAAU